rnacentral:lncRNA from 1 species
AUGGUAGUGUUUGCAUUCAAAUGUUGUAUCAUACAUAAAAUUAAAAGUAUCACUUCCAUAAGAAAAAAAUGCUACGUUAUGAAAAACACAAAAGAAAUCAGUAACUUUCAUUUUCAGUAUAAAACACUCACACUUAUUUAUCCACCUGAUAGCAUUGAUCAGACCAGGGAGCUAGAACAAGACCGUUUUCCAUCCGCGGAACUCCCUGAAGGUUCCUAUGGACUGUAAGGCAGGGACUGGUGCAAGCCGAUUACCUGGAGUGCGGUCACAAGCGAAACCUCCCCUGACUUUCUGCAGCACACUGUGUUGUGACAAAAGGAGAGGGUGACACCCAUUUUCUAUCAUAGGCCAGCCUGUGGCAGCUUAAAAAAAACAACAGCAACAAAAAACAAAAACGCAAGAGCUAUUUAGAAAACUCAAGUUAAAAUUAAUUCUUAAACUGCUGACUUUGCACACACCCCGCAGUGACUGUCUGCCCCAAGAAGCACAUGCGUGGAGCCCAGCAUCUCCCACGAGGACGUGGCCUGGGCCAAGCACGUGGGUCCUGGGCAGCUGCCAUCUCCCCCAGCCGUGUCAGCUCCACCUGACUCAGGUGCCCCCAUGCUUAUCACAUCCUUCUUAAGUUAAAGAUGCUUCCAGAGCAAGCCUAAUUGCCAUUUGCUUAGUGUUUAGUUUGGAAAUGCUUCUAAUUUUUAAGUCUUAAACAAUGAUUAUUUGACUUCUACUGAACACACAGUAUCUGCUAACACUGCUCACCUCCUGCUUCCCCCACCUGCCUCACAUUCGGCUUCCCUGUCAUCACUUCUCUCCUUCCUCCUUCAGUCAUUCUCUCUCUUGCACUUUCUGCUACUUAAUCUGCCUCCCAAGAACAAGUGACUUUGCUAACACACAACUGGUCAGACUCCCCACCCUCGGAUCAAUGAUUGCCUGGGCUCAUCUGCCCCAUCUACUGCAGUUUUUUAAUGUGAUGUAUCACAUUGAUUGAUUUGUGAACAUUGAACCGUCACUGCAUACCAGGGAUAAAUCCCACUUGGUCUGGGUGGAUGAUCUUUCUGAUGUGUUGUUGCAUUCUA